CACUCUUCAGACUUCUGGUUGUUCCCAAAGCCCAAGCCCAGACCUUUUCCCCGAACCCCACCCACCCACGCGCGCACCGGCCAGUCCACCCCCCACAAUGGCGGCGGCGGCGGCGGCGUCUCCGGCCACCGCUCCGUCCUCCUUCCCCUCCACCCGCAAGGCAGCGCUGCUCUCCGUUCGCGUCCCGAGCAAGCUCAGAGCCUCCGCCGCGGCGGCAUCGGCCGACCCGCCCCCGGCCUUCAGGUCCGUCACGACGUUCGCGCCGGCCACGGUGGCGAACCUCGGCCCGGGCUUCGACUUCCUGGGCUGCGCCGUCUCCGACGCCUCGCUCUCCCUCGGCGACACCGUGACCGCCACGCUCGACCCCACGCUGCCCGCCGGCACGGUCGCCAUCUCCGGCAUCACCUCCCCGUCCCGCCCGCGCCUCGCCCACCGCCUCUCCCGCGACCCGCUCCGCAACUGCGCGGGCAUCGCCGCCGUCGCCGCGCUCCGCGCUCUCGGCGUCCGCUCGCACGGCGUCUCGCUCAGCCUCGCCAAGGGCUUGCCGCUCGGCUCCGGCCUCGGCUCCUCGGCCGCCUCCGCAGCCGCCGCAGCCAAGGCCGUGGACGCGCUCUUCGGCUCGCUGCUCCCCCGCGACAACCUCGUCCUCGCCGGUCUUGAGUCCGAGAAGGCCGUCAGCGGAUUCCACGCCGACAACAUCUCCCCGGCCAUCCUCGGGGGCUUCGUCCUCGUGCGGAGCUAUGAGCCUUUCCGCCUUGUCCAGCUCCCCUGCCCGCCCGCACUCGACCUCUGCUUCGUCCUCGUCACCCCUGAGUUCGAGGCGCCCACCAGCAAGAUGCGAGCUGCCCUGCCCAAGAAUGUCGCCCUCGGCCACCAUGUCCGCAAUUCCAGCCAGGCCGCUGCGCUCGUCGCUGCCGUGCUGCAGGGUGACGCCGCACUCAUCGGUUCCGCAAUGUCCUCUGACUUCAUCGUCGAGCCCACCAGGGCACCGCUGAUUCCCGGCAUGGCCGCGGUGAAGGCCGCCGCUCUGGAAGCCGGAGCACUGGGAUGCACCAUCAGCGGAGCGGGCCCAACCGCUGUGGCUGUAAUCGAGGGAGAGGAGAAGGGGGAGGAGAUCGCCCAGAGGAUGGUUGAGGCCUUCCUUUCAGCGGGGAAGCUGAAAGCCACCGCCACCAUCGCACAGCUUGAUAGAGAUGGCGCCAGGGUUAUCUCCACCUCAAGUUUUGAGUAGGAAGGUACAUUGUCUUGUUUGUGUGUCUAUUACUCUGAUUGAACAUUUUUGUCCGUGAUUCGGUGCGGUAGAUGUUUGGAGGUUCUCCCAAAUUAGUCUAUUACCACUCAGUUGUUGGUCCUAAUUGUUUGUUAAAAAUUCUGAAUGAGUGAAAGUAAGAUCUGUGAAUCGAUUUAUCAUUUAAUGUGAAAUUGUAAUCAUAUUAUCCAUCCCUGACCGAGUUGCUCAACUUGUUGGACAGCAGCCUCAAAGCAACAUGGCGAUGUAUCAUUCCCUCUGUUAACAUUUUUGUUUUGUUUCAUGGAUGGUUUAAACUUUUAUGAAUCUAUAAACCUGUGCGAUUUGUUGGUUCCCCUGUGUCUACCGUAACCAUUUCAACAUAUUUAUUAGUGAUAUUUUAGAUUUCUGUUGCUAGCUGUGGUCAGUCCAAGGAGGCAAUAACUAAGGAUGCACUAGUUAGGUGAUAGGUUCUGUAUGAACCAUAAGGAUCAGGGGGUACUGGUAAGGAAGAGGGGCAGAAGGCUGGAUGUUUUCGCUGUGCUCAACCCAGGAAUGUAGUGAAAGAGUGUAAAACUGUCCUGUUUUGUCACAGUCAGAUAGGUGUAAAACUGUCCUGUUUUGUAUUCACCGUGGAAUUGGAUUUUAAGACAAAAAAUGUUGGGACAGUAGCAGGUAACUGGAGUCAAGGAAAUAAAUAAACAAUCUGCAAAAGGUGCAGAAUGUUGGAUGGUGUGGAAUGCUCAGAUACUGACAGUGGAAGUAGUGCCUCAUAGUGCUAAUAACCAGGGGCUCUCUCAGGAUAUGCAGGAUGGUCCGGACAGCUUUGCAAGAGGACUGGGGCUUAGUACACAGGUGAUUGCAGAGGUAAACAGAGGACUUGAUGAGGAGCAGGAGGCUAUAGGAUAACAACUGGUUGGAGGUGAUUUGGGGGAGGAAAUUCAAAUAGAGACCAGAUCUUACAAGCAAAAAAAAGUGGAGCUUGGAGGUGUAUUAGAAAUGUCAGCAAGGAAAAGGAUAAUAUAGUAGAUGAGAAUAGGAGGAGGACUAGCAGGAAUGUGCCAGACCAGCAUGUAAUGGAGAAAGCAAUGGACAGGGCUAAGGUGAAGAAUUUGGAAGUUCCAAUUGGAACAGUAGCGCACAAGCAACACAAAAGCAAUGAAUGAUAUGGAAUAGCAGAGAUGCUGUCGUCAAGAUCAGAGGCACAUGGACUUGAUGUGCUUGAUGGUGAUGCUGUUGGGGAGAGGAGAAACUGGAUCUUGCGGCGCCAGGGCUCGUCCUCGACGAGCACCCCGUGGCGGGCCUCCUGGACGAUGGACUCCUUGGACAGGGCGAGGUCCAUGUCGUCCUAGUGGAAGAGUAGGUCGUUCUUUUGUUCAUUCUCCAGCUUUGAAUGUUGAAUCACGCCAAAACUACUGAUAUUCUAUUGUACCAGAGAACUAUCAUUUUGUUCAUUUUAUGGCAUAGAAAGUAUUGUCAAAUUA